UAAUUGUAUAAAUAUAAGCCCUGGCAUAUACGUUAAUUGGAUCUGUAGAAUUAAUUUCUCCUGGUGGUCUAGUCAUUUUAUCAUAACGACAAUUAUUUGUCAAUUCUUGUAAAAGUUCAGUUUGUGUCAUAGAGCUGCUACUACUUAAUAUUGGACAGCUCUCUAAUCUAAUCUCCCGAUGUCGUCAAAAGUACCUGAUCUAUAGGAGAAAAUCGAACACACCAAACUCCUCUACGGUGACCACGAAAUACGCCAAGUAAAAUUAAAUCGUCUGCAGACCAUAACUAUAACAUUUAGAGUCUUUGCUGUUUUAUCUUGUGAUCCAGUAGCAAUAAAUUUAUCAUUUGGUGAAAUAUCCACGCUAUUAAUAUCUUUUCGAUGAGCCAAUGUUGUCAGAACAGCAUUUACAGAGCAUGUGUCUGCAAU
rnacentral:misc_RNA from 1 species